UACGAAGGGGGCUAGCGUUGCUCGGAAUCACUGGGCGUAAAGCGCACGUAGGCGGACUUUUAAGUCAGGGGUGAAAUCCUGGAGCUCAACUCCAGAACUGCCUUUGAUACUGGAAGUCUUGAGCUCGAGAGAGGUGAGUGGAACUGCGAGUGUAGAGGUGAAAUUCGUAGAUAUUCGCAAGAACACCAGUGGCGAAGGCGGCUCACUGGCUCGAUACUGACGCUGAGGUGCGAAAGCGUGGGGAGCAAACAGG
rnacentral:rRNA from 1 species